rnacentral:rRNA from 1 species
GAUGAACGCUGGCGGCGUGCCUAAUACAUGCAAGUCGAGCGAACAGAUAAGGAGCUUGCUCCUUUGACGUUAGCGGCGGACGGGUGAGUAACACGUGGGUAACCUACCUAUAAGACUGGAAUAACUCCGGGAAACCGGGGCUAAUGCCGGAUAACAUGUUGAACCGCAUGGUUCUACAGUGAAAGACGGUCUUGCUGUCACUUAUAGAUGGACCCGCGCCGUAUUAGCUAGUUGGUGGGGUAACGGCCUACCAAGGCGACGAUACGUAGCCGACCUGAGAGGGUGAUCGGCCACACUGGAACUGAGACACGGUCCAGACUCCUACGGGAGGCAGCAGUAGGGAAUCUUCCGCAAUGGGCGAAAGCCUGACGGAGCAACGCCGCGUGAGUGAUGAAGGUCUUCGGAUCGUAAAGCUCUGUUGUUAGGGAAGAACAAAUGUGUAAGUAACUGUGCACAUCUUGACGGUACCUAACCAGAAAGCCACGGCUAACUACGUGCCAGCAGCCGCGGUAAUACGUAGGUGGCAAGCGUUAUCCGGAAUUAUUGGGCGUAAAGCGCGCGUAGGCGGUUUUUUAAGUCUGAUGUGAAAGCCCACGGCUCAACCGUGGAGGGUCAUUGGAAACUGGAAAACUUGAGUGCAGAAGAGGAAAGUGGAAUUCCAUGUGUAGCGGUGAAAUGCGCAGAGAUAUGGAGGAACACCAGUGGCGAAGGCGGCUUUCUGGUCUGCAACUGACGCUGAUGUGCGAAA